AAAGGCCAUUGAGUAAUGUUGAGUUUCGGAGACUUUUAUUCUGAAAUCGCGGCACAUACCGAAACCGGAAUAGGCGCUAUUGAAUACAGAGAGAACUGUUGUUGCAUCAGUCAUUGCCGAGCGCGGCUCGUUGUCUGAAGUAGCACUGGAAACGUGCAUUGCUGCUAUACUGAGUGUCUGACUGGAUGUAAUUGUGCUUCUGUGCGUGUUAUGAGAAGAAACCACAACCUUUAUAAGCACAACUCAUCGGCUACACACUCAUUUAAUCAGGACAUCAGUAAAUUAACAGCUCCGCAAGGGCAAUCUACAUUGUGAGGAAAGGCUCUUAUGUUUGUCUAUGGCCAAGUGAUACGCUCAUAGCACUCUGAAGGCUCUUUGGAACACUGUUUUACCCACAUACCGCAAACCAAUCUCAAGGCUGGGCCUAAACGUCAGGUCCGUGGGCUACUGGUAAUAGUGUUCUAUAAUUCAUCGUCCUUUGAACCUGUGCACCGGAAACAAUUGGACAUUUCAGUGUACAUCUGCUAAUAUUCACAGUUGGCUCUUCUCUCUCAUGUUCAUACUUACUUGCCACAAUAAAUGUGUUUGAUUUCAUCCCUC